CGUGAUGAACAGCCGAUACGUC
rnacentral:miRNA from 1 species